UACGUAGGGAGCAAGCGUUGUCCGGAAUCAUUGGGCGUAAAGCGCGCGUAGGUGGCUUCGUAAGUCCGUUGUGAAAGUCAAAGGCUCAACCUUUGAAAGCCGAUGGAUACUGCGGAGCUAGAGUACGGAAGAGGCGAGUGGAAUUCCUGGUGUAGCGGUGGAAUGCGCAGAUAUCAGGAGGAACACCGGUGGCGAAGGCGCCCACUCUGGGCCGAAACUGACGCUGAGGAGCGAAAGCGUGGGUAGCAAACAGG
rnacentral:rRNA from 1 species